AACUGCCUGACUGUAACUUAACCGCUCAGAACCUGCCAAAUCAACUAGAUUUAGCGUACCUUUACAUAUUUGUUUGGUUCUAGAAUUUUCACCAUCUAUAUACAGCAUGAAAACAGUGUGUGAUCUUGAAGACCGUUCAUUUGCUUUUGUCGCUGCUAUAAAUCGAUUUUCUCCUGCUCGAUUUAGCAUCUUGUAAACAGUAUCUUCUUCAUUAAAAUCAAUUAUUGAAACGUUAUCCACUGUUGUUCGUCUUUCCUUUUCAUCAUGAUGAAUAUCGUGCUUAGGAUUUUUCAACAUUUCCGCUUUGUUUAAUAGAUCAUAAAUCGUUUCAUUGUAAAUUUCCAAAAACUGACCUCUCAAUUUAUACACCCACCCUUUCUCCCUCAAGGUUGAUAGAUAAUUAAAUAUAUGCUUAAUUGACAUCGCUAUCAUACCGUCUUGUGACGACAUUGUGUACGUCUUACCCGAUCCUGUUUGUCCAUAUGCAAAUAUACUAACAUUAUAACCAUCAAUAGCGCUUUGAAUUAACUGUGAUAUUUCCUCAAAAACGGACGAGUUAUCGCUUUCAGGAGCAAAGACUCGAUCAAAGGAAAAUUCAUAAUUACGAUCAUAAGUAUGCCCGAGUGAUGAUUCAACAUUAGGCCCUUUAAGAAUAAGUUUUUGUGGCUCUAGUGCGUCUUUAUCUGGAAAUUGUAAAACAUCAGCAAUGCAAUAUUCGGAUUCUUCACUUGGGAGUAGUGGUCUAACCCUACAAAAAACUCGAAUAUUUCCCUUUAGUUCUUGAAUGUCGUUAUGCAGCUUUCGUCUGAUUAUUUCUUCUGCUAACAGUUUAUUAUACAUAUCUUCAUUUCUCCGUUCCAGCUGUUGGAUUCGAGCUUGUAGUUCCAAUGCGUUCUGGCCAUUAUUUCUUUCUUUAUCUUGAAUACUUGCAACAUAUUUAGAAAGUUCUUCAAGUUUUUCAGAUGUAGAGUGGUGUUUAUGCUCUUCCUUUAACAGUUUAUUUCGAAGCAUGUCAAUUUCAGCUAACUUGUCUUCUAAUUCUAUACGCAGAGAGGAGAUUUUUUCUUCAUAUUCUUUUUCCGAGUAUGAUUUUUCCGAUUCAUAUUCUUUUACUGCCAUUUCCAACUCAGAUAUUCUC